rnacentral:lncRNA from 1 species
GCAGGUUCUAGAGUGGAGAAUUGAGCUGUACCUGCAUUGUGCCCUCAAAGGGUGCGUCUUCUUGUUUUGAGGACCUGCCCACUCUGAGGACAUCUUGUGGGACCAGUCCUGCCCACAUGGGGCCCACUCUCUGUGAGGUGAAAACCCAUUUCAAGGGCUGCAGCCAGGGUGAGGCCUCUGUGGACCCCUAUGGACGUGGCUGGCCACAGAAAGCUGUUAAAGAAAUGAGGGUGGGGAUUUCUGGGGCAUAAGGACAGGAAAAGGGACACAUACGUGUCAACCACCAUUUCAACUGCACCCCCUCCUUCGAGAGGAUGCCAUGGCCACACUCAGCUGGGCCCUAAGGUGGGCUGAGCCAGAGGAAGGCAGGCAGGAGCUCUGUCUCCCGGCCUUCUCCACUGGAGCCUGAAGCACCUCCUGCCCAGGCCAGCAAGGUGCAGGAAGCGUCCCACCUAGAGACCUCUGCAGACUUGACCACACACCCCAGGGCAAGCAAGGGCCCCACUCCUGAGCCUACCUCUGAUCCUACAGUUCCAAGAGACAGAAGCCAACCUUGCCCCUCCCUUCUGGACCCCAGAGUGCCCUGUGGGCACUAUUACUGCUAACGUUUGAGUGCCAGCUCUGUGCCGGGUGCCAUUCUGGGCAGUCGCACCAGCUACCACUACCACCUGUAGCAGUCCUGCCCCCGUUCACAGAAGACAUUCAGGAGCCCAGCCUGUGGGGGCAGUUCACAUCUGGGAUCUCAAGUCCUAACACAACCAAGCAAUCCUCGCUUUACAGAUGAUGAAAUUGAGCCGCCAUGGUGGGGAAGCCCAACCCAAAUGUGUCAUCUCUGCUGUGAGCUAGACAGCACAGUGGCUGUGGGCCUGGAGGGCAGGGCUGCCUGAUGGGCAGCCAUCCUGGGAAUGUCUGCAAGGGUCUGGUGCUUGGUACAGACCAGUGAGUCUGGGGAAUUGGGGUCUCCACCAAGAUCUGUGGGUGCACUUGGCAUGUUUGCUGCAGAAAAGGCCCCAGAAUGGGCUGGCUUGAACUGGAAAAACACACUUUCUCAUCCCUUUUGGACCACGAGCUUCUUGAGAGCAAAGCAUGUGUUUGAUAUUCCUUUGCUCACCCUCAGGCCUUGUUUGGCAAAUUGCCUGGGAUACAGAAAAUAAGGACAAGGUCUGGGUGUAGUGGCUUAUGCCUGUAAUCCCAGCACUUUGGGUGACCAAGGCAGGAGGAUCUCUUGAGGCCAGGAGUUGCAGACCAGCCUGGGUAACAUAGUGAGACCUUGUCUCUGCAACAAAAUUUAAAAAUUAGCCAGACUUGGUGGUUCCCACUUGCAAUCCCAGCUAUUUGGGAGGCUGAGGCGAGAGGAUCACUUGAGCGCAGGAAUUUAAGGCUGCUGUGAGCUAUGAUUGUGCCACUGCACUCCAGCCUGGGUAACAGUGAGAGGCCUCAUUUCAACAAUAAAACCCAGCUUGGGCCGGGCGCGGUGGCUCAUGCCUUUAAUCCCAGCACUUUGGGAGGCCAAGACGGGCAGAUCACGAGGUCAGGAGAUAGAGACCAUCCUGGUUAACACGGUGAAACCCUGUCUCUACAAAAAAUACAAAAAAAAAAAAUUAGCCGGGCAUGGUGGCAGGCACCUGUAGUCCCAGCCAGUCGGGAGGCUGAGGCGGAAGAAUGGCGUGAACCCGGGAGGCAGAGGUUGCAGUGAGCCGAGAUCGCGCCACUGCACUCCAGCCUAGGGGACAGUUAGACCUCAGAAGAAACAAACUGGUUUGUGGUUGACCUGGGGGUUAGGUGUAGGGAAAAGAAAGACAGAUCAGACUGUCCCUGUGUCUAUGUAGAAAGGGAAGACAUAAGAGACUCCAUUUUGAAAAAGACCUGUACUUUAAACAAUUGCGUUGCUGAGAUGUUGUUAAUUUGUAGCUUUGCCCCAGCCACUUUGAUCCAACCUGGAGCUCACAAAAACGUGUGUUGUAUGAAAUCAAGGUUUAAGGGAUCUAGGGCUGUGCAGGACGUGCUUUAUUAACAAAAUGUUUACAAGCAGUAUACUUGGUAAAAGUCAUCACCAUUCUCUAGUCUCGAUAAACCAGGGGCACAAUGCACUGUGGAAAGCCACAGGGACCUCUGCCCUUGAAAGCAGGGUAUUGUCCAAGGUUUCUCCCCAUGUGAUAGUCUGAAAUAUGGCCUCGUGGGAUGAGAAAGACCUGACUGUCCCCCAAACUGACACCCGUAAAGGGUCUGUGCUGAGGUGGAUUAGUAAAAGAGGAAAGCCUCUUGCAGUUGAGUUAGAGGAAGGCCACUGUCUCCUGCCUGCCCCUGGAAACUGAAUGUCUUGGUAUAAAACCCGAUUGUACAUUCAGUUCUGAGCUAGGAGAAAAACCGCCCUAUGGUGGGAGGUGAGACAUGUUUGCAGUAAUGCUGCUUUGUUAUUCUUUACUCCAC